GAUGAACGCUGGCGGCGUGCCUAAUACAUGCAAGUCGAGCGAACGGACGAGAAGCUUGCUUCUCUGAUGUUAGCGGCGGACGGGUGAGUAACACGUGGAUAACCUACCUAUAAGACUGGGAUAACUUCGGGAAACCGGAGCUAAUACCGGAUGAUAUUUUGAACCGCAUGGUUCAAAAGUGAAAGACGGUCUUGCUGUCACUUAUAGAUGGAUCCGCGCUGCAUUAGCUAGUUGGUAAGGUAACGGCUUACCAAGGCAACGAUGCAUAGCCGACCUGAGAGGGUGAUCGGCCACACUGGAACUGGGACACGGUCCAGACGCCUACGGGAGGCAGCAGUAGGGAAUCUUCCGCAAUGGGCGAAAGCCUGACGGAGCAACGCCGCGUGAGUGAUGAAGGUCUUCGGAUCGUAAAGCUCUGUUAUUAGGGAAGAACAUAUGUGUAAGUAACUGUGCACAUCUUGACGGUACCUAAUCAGAAAGCCACGGCUAACUACGUG
rnacentral:rRNA from 1 species